rnacentral:lncRNA from 1 species
UAUUAGUACUAUUAAAUAUACUACAUAUUUAUAUAUAAUUAGUAUAAUUUUACAUAUAUAUAUAUGUAUAUAUACAAGAUAAAACCGGAAUACAAAGAUGGAGUGCGGUGCCGCGAUCGUUGGCGGUCACCUUGCUCAAUUACCAGAAUUUGGCCUUCGAUCCUACUAAUAACCCACUAUCGGGUGAACAAUACCUGCAACUGCACGCAAGGUGCAGGGAGUAAAGUGAGUACUUCCAACUCAGUGGUAAUAAGAGAGAAUAAUAUCUGAGAGAUAAGAAAACAUGUAUGAGCACACCAAAAUGCUAUAAAAGACAGAACAAUCCUUUUUGAGAAAAAUCGAAAUACCGUGGAGAUUCCUUUAGAAAGUCUCAAGACCAGUUCAAAAAACACUUUCGAAAAUAUGUUUUUUCAACAAUUGCAAAGAUAAUUUCAACAAGUAGGAAAUAAUCAGAAAAAACUGCUCCUCGGGCUCAAUAUCAACCUCUCAGUACAGUACAAGCCUCGCGGGCUCACUCCCAACUCACAAUAUCCAUCAUCAGCCUCUCAGGCUCAGCACUCCUCAACAUAUAACAUCAGGGUAUCUGGUCAGCAAGGAAAGUAACAGUAUGUAUGCCAAUGAUAUAUGAGUGCUAAAUGUCGUGCCACGUAGUACAAACAGGAGUAGUGCAUGAAUGCAAUGCAAUGCAUGAAUGAACAUUGCGGAACGUGCAGCCCGAUCCUUUUGGGUACCCGCGCUCACUGUGGGGGUUCGGAUUCCGGAGGGGCUCCUACAGCCCAAGCGCAAUAUCAAUAUCACACAGUUGCGGGUCGCGCAGCCCGAUCCAUGCAAUAUGCUAAUACAGCGUGCAGCCCGAUCCAUGCAUGUAUAUGCACAUAUACACAUAUCACUCGAGGCUUGCAAGCCUCCAUACAUCAUAUUCAUGCCCUCACAUAUGACCCUCAGCCUCGAUUAGUCUAAAAUAGUCAAAAGCCCCUCGGGCAUCCGUAAAACAAAUAUACUCAGCUCAAAUGAUAGUUCAAACAUCGUUUAAAACUUCAAGUUUGAGUAAAAUAUAGCUGAGUUCAUAAAACAGUGUUAAAUCAUACGGACUGAGUUCAAAUAGUAUUUCAAAUAGUGAGCAAAAACAGUGAUGAUAGCUCACAAAGCGUUCAAACAAUCGGCAAUAAGCCCAAGUAUGGCAAUGAGCCCAAAUUAUCGAGACGUCUUUGCCCCUCAAAUCGGCCUCCACGCGUGCCGAAUCUAGCAAAAAACAGAGCGAAUACAUCACAACAUUCCAAUGGGACAAUAUCCAAUCGAAAACAAUCGAGAAAUAGCAAGAAUGUCUAAACUGGCAAAACCUGAUCCCCGGGCCCGCUUCUCAAAAAAUUAAGAAACUUAAUUCUUCGGAAUCCACGUCUCAUCACGAGUUCAUACAUACCAAGAACUCCCAAAUCCGAGCUCAAAUGACCUACCUAAUCCCAAUUUGAAAUAUCAAAAACUCAAGCCCUAGUUUCUUCAGUUUUUGGCUUAUUCCCAUGAAUUUCUAGGUAGAUUUCCCAAUUAAAAUGAGUUUUAAGUUCAAAGAUCUUACCUCCAGUCAUUUCUCUUCGAUUCCCUCUUCAAUUCGCUCUCCCAAGCUCCACAAUCGCCCAACAAUGGAGUAAAAUAACACAGACUCGCGGAUGAAAAUUGACUUAAAUCAAUUCUGCGCAGGUGCCACUUACCCUACGGAAACGCGGUCCAAGACCCACGUGUUCGCGAUGACCAAACUAUGCUGACCCCAAAUUAUCCUUACGCGAAUGCGACCACCAACCUGCGAACGUGAAGUUUCAUAGUCUCCCCUCUACGCGAACGCGUUAUAUGCACCGCGAAUGCGAUGCUUUACUUCCCAGUACCACGCGAACGCGACCUUGAGCUACGCGAACGCGACGACUAAUUUCCAGGCCUCCCAAAUUACUCUACGCGUUCGGGACACUCCCCACGCGAAUGCGUUGAACAAAACUUCUGCAACAUAUGACAGCAAAAAUCUGAUCUCUCACAAGGCCAAAACUAGUCCGUUUGAACACCCGAAAUCACCCCGAGGCCCCUGGGACCUCAACCAAAGACACCAACAUACCCCAAAGCAUCAUACAAGCUUGUUCCAAUCACAAAAAUACAUCGUCUAACAUAAAAAUCAUCAAAUCACGGCGGAUUCAAGCUUACAAUUUUUUAAAACUUUUGAAACUCAUAUUCGAUCAAAAACCCGACGAAACGAUGUCCGAAUGACCUGAAAAUUUACAAACAUAUCCAAAAUCACCUAAAAAAGCUACUGCAUUUCUCGGAAUUCCAUUCCUAUCCUCGGAUCAAAAUCUCACCUACCAACCGGAAUUCGCCAAAAUUCAAACUUCGCCAAUUCAAACCUAAUUCUACAUCGGACCUCCAAAUUCAAUUCUGAUCGCUCUCCUCAUGAAAACUUCACCUCCCGAAGCUAAAAGAAUCAUCGAGAAUCACAUCCGAGCCUUCUAACUCACGAGUUGACCUUUCCAAAACAAGCUUCCUUCUAAGAGGCCAUGCGCCUUACUUUCAACCAAAACCAAUUCAAUUAUACCCGAUCAACUCCAAUACUGAUAUUGAAACAUGAAGCAACACAAUAAGGGGGAAACGGAGCAGUAACACAUAAGAAGACGGGUCGGGUCGUCACAUCCUCCCCAACUUAAACAAACGCUCGUCCCCGAGCGUACCAAGAGAUGUACUAGAAGCAACCCAAUAGCUGAAUGACCUUACCAAGCACAUUCCCGGGGUGAUCCCACAUCACCCUAUCUUACAUAGGUUCCGAUUAUACAACACAACUGAAAUUUCAGAAUCCAUCAUGCCCAUAAACCGUAGAACCAUACUGCACUUCCCGAAAUCAUACACAAGUCAGAACCUCACCUCUAUACCCAGAAUUAACCCGAACCAACUGUAAUAAUCCAGACCUGCAACCUCAGGUGAAUUCAUGCAAUAUACCACACAUUCCAACACUCGGAACGAUAGCCUCUAUUUACAGCAGUUGCCCACACUAACCAAAUACUGAUAGAAAAAUCUUUAUAUUGGCCAACGUCUUAUCCCAAUACCUUCAUAUACCGCCAACGGCAAAUGAAACACGUGAUAAACCGAACCCAUCUCUCAGAUCACCCAUUCAUGAGUCCAUUUCCUUUCUGACUGAUACUACAACUGAUUUUGGAGCCAAACCUCGAUAUUACUUUUCUAACAAGCAGAAAUCAAAUAUGCUCGUACUCAGUAAUGACUCCAACAAUCAUCUCAACUACAAUACGCCACUCCGGUGAUAUGACACCUCAACAACGGCCUAAGCCACAUCGUGCUCAACACAUGCACCAAUAAGAAACGAUCUGAACACACUCAAAUCAUGACUACUGACUCAAAUGAAAGAGCUGUACUUCACCUCAACAACGGCCUAAGCCACAUCGUGCUCAACACAUGCACCAAUAAGAAACGAUCUGAACACACUCAAAUCAUAACGACUGACUCAAACAAAAGAGUUGAACUUCAAAUUCCUCCGUACGAUCAGAACACACAACUGAGAUCCCAUCUUAUAUCACAGAAAUAGAGUACCUGAAUCCUCCUCAAAAGGUCAUAACAUCACGCGGCCUUGCCACAGCGCACGAUUCUAUCCAAGCACUAUUACCCAUGAAGCACCUCAAGUCACCAUGCUUAACACGAUCAGCAUACACAUAUUGAGGUCUUAAACCUUGCAGUACAUCACACCCACGAUGAAGCAAGUAUUAUACACUAUUCAAUCCUGAAAGGACAUAACUGAUGCGGUAUUCGCCUAGAAACGGCCAAUACGAAUUUUCCUAAAAAACCAGGAAACAAGGCAUACAAAGUAACAUAUAGGAAAAUUGUUCUCCACAUCACACUGUUGCGGCGCAACCCGGUCCAGAUAACAUACCCGUGGUGGCGUACCACCCGAUCCAGAUACCAUACCCGUGGCGGCGUGCCACCCGAUCGCACAUAUAGUUCACCAAAGGAGAUGUACAUCGAGUCAAAUUUGCUCAUGACAAUAAACACAUAUAGCCUCAUGCCCGACCGCAAGAAACGCAUCCGAAAAGUCCAUCAAUACUGGAAUUGAACCCAUGGUAGAAACCUCAACACUGACAUCUGCCACGAAGGCCCAAUCAAUAACCAAUGCUUGCCAGCCAUCCCCUGGUCCUUGGAACAUAACUACUCUGCUAGAACAAUAAUUCGAUGCAUCUUGCAACUCAACCUGUGGCUUUUCCUGACAUACCCCAUGACACAUUUAUCUAGACAAUCUAACCCUGGAACAACCGGUCUGCCAUCAACCAUCAUAACCCAAUAUUAACAUACCAAGCAAGGAAAGAUCCACUCGGACCUCCAGUUUUCAUUAACUGCUAGACGAUGUCGAUACACACGACCCACAACCACCGCAUGGUCGAAUUACAAGAACUUCUAGUCUCCAACACAUAUAACGCAUGAAUCACUAUGCCUGAUCCCACACUCCGCCGUACGAAUACAUAACACACAUCAAGUAUCCAUUAAUACCACAAAAGAUAUUCAAGCGCCAUCAACAAACUCAAAUAUCCGCAGUCGGUCCAACAAGAAAAUGCCGCAAUACUACUGACGUAUCAUCAAUUUACAUUAUCUUAAUCAUCUGAAGAUCGAUUCUUUACUCACCUGUAGCUGACCAUGCUACUUAAGAAUAUAAUGAUUUCCUAUUAUGAACUGAAACAAAGCCUUGAACCCGCAAUUCUCAAUUCUCCAUAUCAUAACACACAGACCAUACCACACUAGGAUAACAUUCCCAUUUUCAAACCACAGUGAAACACAUCAAGAUCUCUUUCUCCCAAUUCCAUUGCACAAGCUAAACUACCAGGACUGAAUCCUUCUACACAAACCAAGUUAUGCAAACUGCUAGCACUUAAAACUUUGUUGCACAACAUUGUAAGGCUCAUUACCUCGAACACAUACAAUAAUUAAUCAUAUCCUUACCAUACCGAUUCGGUUCAUUAUCAAGCUGUUCCAUUUUAUCAUAUUUCCUUCCCGGCUUGUCUUUAAUUUGAUAUUUUCGCUUGCUGUAGCACCACAAUACCUCGACUUAAGUUACCACACGAGACUCGCACAUAAAACCACACUGUCCAAGACCCAUAGGCCACGGAAUACCCUCUUAAACGAUUCCAAGAAAUGCCACGUUCCAGAAUGCUUUACCUUGAAGAAUUUCGUGCGAUUCUAAAUUCGCUUACCAUUACAUUACAAAUAGGGAUACGUAGAAUCCCAUGAUUAACACAAAUUACCACAAGUCUUGACCUUUCCUAAUAAAAAUACUGUCGCUAGCCACAUACACAAACUUAAGACAUCUGAUUGUUACAUGCAAAAUCUUGGACACAAUUAAACCAAUCUCGAGAGUCAUUCACUCUUAAACAACUAAAAUUUACCUUCCUUAACGGACAGAACCACCCGUGCUUUAUUAGUACUCUGACACCGCAGAACAUGAUCUCAUACAGAUAUAAAAAAGCAUCUUUCUUCCCUAUACACUGAGCAUUCUUUAUCAACAACAGUUCAAAAGAUCCUAGUAUUUCUUCACAUCUACGAAGCACCAUAUGUCUUUUAUCAAAAUUUUCCUUCACACGUUCCAUUAUCGGCUCAAUUCCUACGACCAGACCUGAUCCGCCAACAUACCUUGAAACAGAACCAAUUAUAGCAUACAACAAUGCAAUCAGCUAAUCCAAAGCAACCUCCACAACUUGGCUCGAAGCCAUAUACCCGGACUCGCUCAAUAAUCCUAAUACUUCUACAUCUAAUGAAAUCACAACAUUAUAGAGAGAAUUAAACUCAAGUCAUUUACAAGUUUUGUGAAUACACAGAUUGUCCACAACAGCCGAGUCCAUUUUGUUAGACGUCCCCAAAUUCUCAAAUUUCAACACAUACCCUUCAAUUACACAUGAGAUAUUUUACAUACACAUACAGAUCAUACCGCUCAAAACCCUGUACAGGAGUUAACCCACCUGCUUCGCCUCAUUUCAAUAUCUCCGCAUACCUUCCACUAUCAUACACGUAAUACAAAAGCAUUUAGUCUUUCUGAGUCUAUACUCAUACUGCCACAUGGAAUGUACCUUACUUGCCAACCCAUAACUCGGACUACACAUAAAAAUCACAAUAGGAGUCGAACACUCGACAACUCUCUAUUAUUCAGAAGACUCUCUCGUCACUACCAAGAUCACAUAGAUACACCCCACGGUACUAACAUACUCAUCACAUGGAUAUCCAGCCGCCAUUCCGGCUAAUAAGAUCAAUACUGAACAUAUAAGUUCGAAUCACUUACUCACUCAAUCAGCACCUCGGUGUUCAAACCGUAGGCAAUUAUCCGGCCUCGAGUCCUCCAGACUGGGCCAACAUGAACUUACAGAGAUUACCUCUUGCCCCUCGAUCGAGAAUCACAAUCCAUCAAGGCACAUAUACUACUGAGCACUCACGUGCGCAUACACAUGUGUGGAAGGAAUUUCAAGAAUUAUAUCUCAAGCUGAAUCAAGUACGGAAGAUAAGAAUUCCAAGAAUGGGAAGUUUUCCUAAAGGUUCUGCAGCCUCUCGAGGAUAAAUACAGACGUCUCUGUGCUUAUCCGCGAGACUCUACUAACCCUGCUCAUUACUCGUGAGACCUAGUAACCUAGGGUCUGAUACCAACUUGUCAUGACCCAAAUUCCAUACCCGGUCGUGAUGGCGCCUCUCGGCAAGACAAGUCCAGCCAACAACCCCAAAUUCCCUGCUCAUGACUCAUGAGACCUAGUAACCUAGGCUAUGAUAGCAACUUGUCACGACCCAAAUUCUAUACCCGGUUGUAAUGGCGCCUCUCAUGAAGACAAGGCCAGCCAACAACCCAAAACUCCUCUUUAAGUAGUUAAACCAAUAUAUAGCAUAUCAAAUCUAGAUUUAUGACAUUAAUUAAUAUGAAAAUCAAUACAGCUCGAUCGAGGUGUCACAAGUCACGAGCAUCUAAUGAGUAGGGACACUACUACUGGUCCAACAAUGUAUAUANNNNNNNNNNNNNNNNNNNNNNNNNNNNNNNNNNNNNNNNNNNNNNNNNNNNNNNNNNNNNNNNNNNNNNNNNNNNNNNNNNNNNNNNNNNNNNNNNNNNNNNNNNNNNNNNNNNNNNNNNNNNNNNNNNNNNNNNNNNNNNNNNCAACAAUGUAUGUAUAUAUAUAUAUAUAUAUAUAUACAAGAUAAAACCGGAAUACAAAGAUGGAGUGCGGUGCCUCGAACGCUGGCUGCCACCUUGCUCAAUUACUAGAAUAUGGCCUUCGAUCCUGCUAAUAACCAGAUAUCGGGUGAACAAUGCCUGCAACUGCACGCAAGGUGCAUGGAGUAAAGUGAGUACUUCCAACUCAGUGGUAAUAAGAGNNNNNNNNNNNNNNNNNNNNNNNNNNNNNNNNNNNNNNNNNNNNNNNNNNNNNNNNNNNNNNNNNNNNNNNNNNNNNNNNNNNNNNNNNNNNNNNNNNNNNNNNNNNNNNNNNNNNNNNNNNNNNNNNNNNNNNNNACUCAGUGGUAAUAAGAGAGAAUAAUAUCUGAGCGAUAAGAAAACAUGUAUGAGCACACCAAACUGCUAUAAAAGACAGAACAACCCUUUUUGAGAAAACUCGAAAUACCGUUGAAAUCCCUUUAGAAAGUCUCAAGAUCAGUUCAAAAUCUCUUUUGAAUAUAUGCUUUUUCAACAGUUGCAAAGAUAAUUUCAACAAGUAGGAAAUAAUCAGAAAAACUGCCCCCCGGGCUCAAUAUCAACCUCUCAGUACAGUACCAGCCCCGCGGGCUCACUCCCAACUCACAAUAUCCAACAUCAGCCUCUCGGGCUCAGCACUCCUUAACAUAUAAAAACUGCCCCCCGGGCUCAAUAUCAACCUCUCAGUACAGUACCAGCCCCGCGGGCUCACUCCCAACUCACAAUAUCCAUCAUCAACCUCUCAGGCUCAUCACUCCUCAACAUAUAACACCAGGGUAUCUGGUCAGCAAGGCAAGUAACAGUAUGUAUUCCAAUGAUAUAUGAGUGCUAAAUAUCGUGCCACGUAGUACAAAGAGGAGUAAUGUAUGAAUGCAAUGCGAUGCAUGAACACUGCGGAACGUGCAGCCCAAUCCAUUUGGGUACCCGCGCUCACUAUGGGGGUUCAGACUCCGGAAGGGCUCCUACAACCAAAGCGCAAUAUCAAUAUCACACCGCUGCGGGUCGUGCAGCCCGAUCCAUGCAUGUAUAUGCACAUGUACACAUAUCUCUCGAGGCAUGCAAGCCUCCUUACAUCAUAUUCAUGCCCUCACAUAUGGCCCUCAACCUCGAUCAGUCUAAAAUAGUCAAAAGCCCCUCGGCUCAAAUGAUAGUUCAAAUAUCACUUAAAACUCCAAGUUUGAGUUAAAUAUAGCCGAGUUCAUAAAACAGUGUAAAUCAAACGGACCGAGUUCAAAUAGUAUUUCAAAUAGUGAUAAUAGCUCACAAAGAGUUCAAACAAUUGGCAAUAAGACCCAAGUAUAACAAUGAACCCAAAUUAUGAUGAUAACAACAAAUUGUUUGCAAAUACGCGGUAAACCAACAACCGGGACGGACCAAGUCACGAUCCCCAACGGUGCUCUACCCCACGCUUAGGUCCUGUGUGCAAGUCACCUCAAUACAGUACUAAGAUGUGCAAAUCCGGGGUUUCAAACCCUCAGGAUAUCAUUCCCAAGUAUUACUCACCUCGAACCGGCGAAAUCUCAAGCUUGCGACGCCUUUGCCCCUCAAAUCGGCCUCCACUCACGUCGAAUCUAGCCAAAAACAGAGCGAAUACAUCACAACAUGCCAAUGGGACAAUACCUAAUCGAAAACAAUCGAGAAAUAGCAAGAAUCUUGAAACUAGCAAAACCCGAGCCCCGGGUCAGCUUCUAAAAAAAUUACGAAACUUAUAUUUUCGGAAUCCCCGUCUUGUCACGAGUUCAUGCAUACCAAGAAAUCCCAAAUCCGAGCUCAAUUGACCUACCAAAUCCCAAUUUGAAAUAUCAAAAACUCAAGCCCUAGUUUCUUCAAUUUUUGGCUCCUUAAUAACUCCAACGAUCAUCUCAACUACAACACGCCAGUCUGGUGGUAUGACAUCUCAUUAAUUUCUUCAGUUUUUGGCUUGUUUCCAUGAAUCUCUAGGUAGAUUUCCCAAUUAAAACGAGUUUUAAGUUCAAAGAUCUUACCUCCAAUCAUUCCUCUUCGAUUCCCUCUUCAAUUCGCUCUCCCAAGCUCCAAAAUCGCCCAACAAUAGAGAAAAAUAGCAUAGGAUCGCAGAUGAAAAAUGACUUAAAUCAAUUCUGCCCAGGUGCCAUUUACCUUACGCGAAUGCAGUCCAAGACCCACGCGUUCGCGAUGACCAAAUUAUGCUGAUCCCAAAUUAUCCUUACGCGAAUGCGACCACCGACCCGCGAACGCGAAGUUUCAUAGUCUCCUCUCUAGGCGAACACGCUACAUGCACUGCGAACGCGAUGCUUUACUUCCCAGCAUCGCGCGAACGCGACCUUGAGCUACGCGAACGCGAUGACUAAUUUUCAGGCCUCCAAAAUUACUCUACGCGUUCGCGACACUUCCCACGCGAACGCGAUGAACAAAACUUCUGCAAUAUAUGACAGCAAAAAUAUUAUCUCUUCCAAGGCCAAAACUAGUCUGUUUGAACACCCGAAAUCACCCCGAGGCGCCUGGGACUUCAACCAAAGACUCCAACUUACCCCUAACCAUCAUACAAACUUGUUCCAAUCAGAAAAACACGUCCUCUAACACAAAAAUCAUCAAAUCACGACGGUUCAAGCUUAAAUUUAUUAAAACUUCCGAAACUCAUAUUCGAUCAAAAACCCGACUAAACGACGUCCGAAUGACCUGAAAAUUUGUAAACAUAUCCAAAAUUACCUAACGAAGCUACUGCAACUCUCAGAAUCCAUUCCGACCCUCUGAUCAAAAUCUCACCUACCAACCGGAUUUUGCCAAAAUUCAAAAUUCGACAAUUCAAGCCUAAUUCUACACCGAGCCUCCAAAUUCAAUUCCGAUCGCUCUCCUAAGGCAGAAAUCACCUCCCAAAGCUAACAGAAUCAUCGAAAAUCACAUCCGAGCCUUCUAACUCACAAGUCAACUUCCGGUUGACUUUUCCNNNNNNNNNNNNNNNNNNNNNNNNNNNNNNNNNNNNNNNNNNNNNNCAACUUCCGGUUGACUUUUCCAAAACAAGCUUCCUUCUAAGAGGCCAAGUUCCUUACGUUCAACCAAAACUAAUUCAAUUACACCCGAUCGACUCCAAUACUGAUAUUGAAACAUGAAGCAACACAAUAAGGUCUAUCACACCCACGGUGAAGCAAGCAUUAUACACUAUUCAAUCCUGAAAGGACACAACUGAUGUGCUAUUCACCUAGCAACACCCAAUACGAAUAGUCCUCAUAAACCAGGAAACAAGGCAUAAAAAGUAACAUAUAGGAAAAUUGUUCUCCAAAUCACAUUGUUGCGGCGCGCAACCCGGUCUAGAUAACAUACCCUGGCGGCGUGCCACCCGAUCCAGAUACCAUACCCGUGGCGGCGUGCCACCUGAUCGCACAUAUUUCACCAAAGGAGAUGCACAUAGAGUUAAAUUUGCUCAUGACAAUAAGCACAUAUAGCCGCAUGCCCGACCGCAAGACAGCAUCCGAAAAGUCUCUUAUACCGGAACUGAACCCAUGGUAGAAACCUCUACACUGACAUCUGCCACAAAGGCCCAACAAAUAAGCAAUGCUUGCCAGCUGUCCGCUGGUCCUUGGAAUAUAACUACUCUGCUAGAGCAAUAAUUCGAUGCACCUUGCCAUGCAACAUGUGGCUUUUCCUGACAUAGCCCAUAACACAUUAGUCCAGACAAUCUAACCCUAGAACAACCAGUCUGCCAUCAACCAUCAUAACCCAAUUUUAACAUACGUAGCAAGAAAAAAUCCACUCGGACCUCUAGUUUUCAACAACUGUUAGACGAUAUCGAUACACACGACCCACAACCACCACAUAGUCGGAUCACGAGAACUUCUAGUCUCAAACACAUAUAACGCCUGAAUCACUAUGCAUGAUCCCAUGCUCCGCCAUACGAAUACAUAACACACAUCAAGUAUCUAUUCAUACCACGAAAGAUAUUCAAAAUUUCCUGCAGCAUCAACAAACUCAAAAAUUCGCAAUCGGUCCAACAAGAAAAUGCCGCUAUACUACUGACGUAUCAUCAAUUUACAUCACCUUAAUCAUCUGAAGAUCGAUUCUUUACUCACGUGUAGCUGACCGUGCUAUUCAAGAAUUUAAUGAUUUCCCAUUAUGAACAUAACCAAAGCCUUGAACCCGCAAUUCUCAAUUCUCCAUAUCAUAACACACAAACCAUACCACACUAGGAUAACAUGCCCAUUUUCAAACCGCGGUGAAACACAUCAACAACUCUUUCUCCCAAUUCCAUUGCAGAAGCUAAACUGCCAGGACUGAAUCCUUCUACCCAAACCAAGUUAAGCAAACUGCCAGCACUUAAAAGCUUUGCUGCAAAAUACUUGUGAGGCUCACUACCUCGAACACAUACAAUAAUUAAUCAUAUCCUUACCAUACCGAUUCGGUUUAUUAUCAAGCUAUUCCAUUUAUCCAAUUUCUUCCCGAUUCAUCUAAAGCAAACUGCCAGCACUUAAAGCUUUGCUGAACAAUAUUGUAAGGCUCAUUACCUCAAACACAUACAAUAGUUAAUCAUAUCCUUACCAUACCGAUUCGGUUCAUUAUCAAGCUAUUCCAUUUUAUCCAAUUUCCUUCCCGACUCGUCUUUAAUUUGAUAUUCUUCCUUACUAUAGCACCACAAUACCUCGACCUAGGUUACCACACGAGACUCCCACAUAAAACCACAGUGUCCAUGACCCAUAGGCCACGAAAUACCCUCUCAAAUGUUUCCCAGAAAUUCCAAAUUCCAGAAUGCUUUGAAGAAUUUCCUACGAUUCUAAAUUCGUUUACCAUUACCUUCCAAAUGCGAUAUGUAGAAUCCCAUGAUUAACACAAAGUACCACAAGUCUUGACCUAGUCUAAUGAAAACACAGUCACUAGCCACAUACACAAACUUAAGACACCUGAUUGUUACAUACAAAAUCUUGGACACAAUAAAACCAAUCUCGAGAGUCGUUCACUCUUAAACAACUAAAAUAUACCUUCCUUGACGGACAAAUCCAAUCGUGCUUUAUUAGUACUCUGACACCGCAGAACAUGAUCUUAUACAGAUAUAAACAAACAUCUUUCUUCCCUAUACACUGAGCAUUCUUUAUCAACAGCAGUUCAAAACAUCCUAGUAUUUUUUCACAUGUACGAAGCACCAUAUGUCCUUUGUCAAAAUUUUCCUUCACACGCUCCAUUCUCGGCUCAAUUCCUACGACCAGACCUGAUCCGCCAACAUACCUUGAAACAGAACCAAUCAUAGCAUACAACAAUGCAAUCAGCUAAUCCACAACAACCUCCCCAACUUGGCUCGAAGCCAUAUAUCGGGUCUUGCUAAAAAUCCUAAUACUUUUACAUCUAAUUAAAUUACAACAUUAUAGAGAGAAUUAAACUCAAGUCAUUUACAAGUUUUGUGAAUACACAGAUCGUCUAGCACCGAUAUUCUCUGCAAAUCUCGCAUUCAUUUACACAUCAGCUGAGUCCAUUUUCUUUGACGUCCCCGAAUUCUCAAAUUUUAACACAUACCCUUCAAUUACACAUGAGAUAUUUUACAUACACAUACGGAUCAUACCGCUCAAAACCCUCUACAGGAGAUAACCCACCUGCUUCGUCUCAUUUCAAUAUCUCCACAUACCUUCCACUAUCAUACACGUAAUACACAUCCAUUUAGUUUUCUGAGUCUAUACUCAUUACUGCCACAUGGAAUGUACCUUACUUGCCAACUAAGAGACAUGAAAUAUUCUUCACGCGCCCAUAACUCGAACUACACAUAUCACAAUAGGAGUCGAACACUCGACAACUUAUCUAUUAUUCGGCAGACUCUCUCGUCACUACUAAGAUUAUAUAGUCUCGGGCUACAUAUAAAAAUCACAAUAGGAGUCUAACACUCGACAACUCAUCUAUUAUUCAGCAAACUCUCUCGUCACUACCAAGAUCACAUAGAUACACCCCACGUUCCUAACAUACUCAUCACAUGGAUAUCCAGCCCCCAUUCCGGCUAAUUAGAUCAAUACUGAACAUAUAAGUUCAAAACACUUACUCACUCAAUCAGCACUCGGUGCUCAAACCAUUGGCAAUUAUUCGGCCUUGAGUCCUCGAGACUGGCCCAACAUGAACUUACGGAGAAUACCUCUUGCCCCUCGUUCGGGGAAUCACAAGCCAUCAAGGCACAUAUACUACUGAGCGCUCACGUGCGCAUACAGACGUCUUGAAGGAAUUUAAAGAAUUAUAUCUCAAGAUGAAUCUAGUAUGCACGAUAAGAAUUCCAAGAAUGGGAAGUUUUCCUAAAGGUUCUGCAGCCUCUAGAGGAUAAAUACAGACGUCUCCGUACCGAUCCGCGAGACUCUACUAAUCGGCUCAUGACUCAUGAGGCCUAGUAACCUAGGCUCUAAUACCAACUUGUCACGACCCAAUCUUGAUCGUGAUGGCGCCCAACACUGUCUCUUCUAACCCUGCUCAUGACUCGUGAGACGUAGUAACCUAGGCUCUGAUACCAACUUGUCACGACCCAAAUUCUAUACCUGGUUGUGAUGGCGCCUCUCGUGAAGACACGGCCAGCCAACAAAAGACAGAACAACCCUUUUUGAGAAAACUCAAAAUACCGUGGAAAUCUCUUUAUAAAGUCUCAAGAUCAGUUCAAAAUCUCUUUUGAAAAUAUGCUUUUUCAACAGUUGCAAAGAUAAUUUCAACAAGUAGGAAAUAAUCAGAAACACUGCCCCUCGGGCUCAAUAUCAAUCUCUCAGUACAAUACCAGCCCCGCGGGCUCACUCGCAACUCAAAAUAUCCAUUAUCAGCCUCUCAGGCUCAGCACUCCUCAACAUAUCACACCAGGGUAUCUUGUCAGCAAGGCAAGUAACAGUAUGUAUGUCAAUGAUAUAUGAGUGCUAAAUAUCAUGCCACGUAGUACAAACAGGAGUAAUGCAUUAAUGCAAUGCAAUGCAUGAACACUGCGGAACGUGCAUCCCGAUCCAUUUGGGUACCCGCGCUCACUGUGGGGGUUCAGACUCCGGAGGGGCUCCUACAACCCAAACGUCAUAUCAUACAGUGUUAAUAAUUACCAUUGUUUCCAUUACAAUACACGAUGCCCAUAGUUACCACCAUUUCCGGCUCACUGUGGGGGUUCAGACUCCAGAAGGGCUCCUACAACCCAAGUGCAAUAUCAAUAUCACACCUCUGCGGGUUGUGCAGCCCGAUCCAUGCAUGUAUAUGCACACGUACACAUAUCUCUCGAGGGAUGCAAGCCUCCUUACAUCAUAUUCAUGCCCUCACAUAUGGCCCUCAACCUCGAUCAGUCUAAAAUAGUCAAAAGCCCCUCAGGCAUCUGUAAAACAAAUAUACUCAGCUUAAAUGAUAGUUCAAAUACGCGAGAUUGUUUGCAAAUACGCGGAAAAACCAACAACCGGGACAGACCAAGUCACAAUCCCCAAUGGUGCUCUACCUCAUGCUCAGGUGUUGCGUGCAAGUCACCUCAAUACAGUACUAAGAUGUGCAAAUCUGAGGUUUCAAACCCUCAGGAUAUCAUUCCCAAGUAUUACUCACCUCGAACCGGCAAAAUCUCAAGCUUGCGAAGCCUUUUCCCCUCAAAUCGGCCUCCACGCACGUCCAAUUUGGCCAAAAACAGAGCGAAUACAUCACAACAUGCCAAUGGGACAAUACCCAAUCUAAAACAAUCGAGAAAUAGCAAGAAAAUCGAAACUAGCAAAACCCGAGCCCCGGGCCCGCUUCUUGAAAAAUUACGAAACUUAUAUUUUCGAAAUUCUCGUCUUGUCACGAGGUCAUACAUACCAAGAAAUUCCAAAUCCGAGCUCAAAUGACCUACCAAAUCCCAAUUUGAAAUAUAAAAAGCUCAAGCCCUAGUUUCUUCAAUUUUUGGCUUAUUCCAUGAAUUUCUAGGUAGAUUUCCCAAUUAAAACGAGUUUUCUUACCUCCAAUCAUUCCUCUUAGAUUCCUUCUUCAAUUCGGUCUCCCAAGCUCUAAAAUCUCCCAACAAUAGAGGAAAAUAACAUAGGCUCGCGUAUGAAAAAUGACUUAAAUCAAUUCUGCCCAGGUGCCAUUUACCCUACGCCAAUGCGGUCCAAGACCCACGCGUUCGUUAUGACCAAAUUAUGCUGACCCAAAAUUAUACUUACGUGAACGCGACCACUGACCCGCGAACGCGAAGUUCCAUUGUCUCCCCUCUACGCGAAUGCGCUACAUGCAUCACGAACGCGAUGCUUCACUUUCCAGCACCACGCGAACGCGACCUUGAGCUACGCGAACGUGAUGACUAAUUUCCAGGCCUCUCAAAUUACACUACGCGUUCGCGACACUCCCCAUGCAAACGCGAUGAACAAAACUUCUGCAACAUAUGACAGCAAAAAUCUGAUCACUCCCAAGGCCAAAACUAGUCUGUUUGAACAUCCGAAAUCACCCCGAGGCCCCUGGGACCUCAACAAAAGACACCAACAUACCGCGAAAAAUCAUACAAACUUGUUCCAAUAAUAAAAACACGUCCUCUAACACAAAAAUCAUCAAAUCACGACGGAUUCAAACUUAAAUUUUUUGAAAACUUCCGAAACUCAUAUUCGAUCAAAAACCUGACUAAACGACGUCCGAAUGUCGUGAAAACUUGCAGACAUAUCCAAAAUCAGCUAACGAAGCUACUGCAACUCUCGGAAUUCCAUUCCCCUCAUAUCAAAAUUUCACCUACAAACCGGAAUUCGCCAAAAUUAAACUUCGCCAAUUCAAGCCUAAUUCUACACUGGACCUCCAAAUUCAAUUCCGAUCGCUCUCCUGAGUCAAAAAUCAUAUCUCGAAGCUAAGCGAGUCAUCGAAAAUCACAUCCGAGCCUUCUAACUCCCAAGUCAACUUCUGGUUGACUUUUCCAAUACAAGCUUCCUUCUAAGAGGCCAUGCGCCUAACUUCAACCAAAACCAAUUCAAUCACACCCGAUCAACUCCAAUACUGAUAUUGAAACAUGAAGCAAUACAAUAAGGGGGAAACGAUCAGUAACACAUAAGACGACGGGUCAGGUCGUCACACUCAAUGAGACAUAUGGUGCAGUAAGAAGCAUCAUUCUGAUGUUGUCUCCCCUUCCUAGUGUGAAUCAUGCCUACUCCCUUUUGAUUCGAGAUGAAAAACAAAGGGAGAUCCAUGUUGGAGUACAUCCUGCAGAAUUUGCUUUUAUGGCAUCAUAACAGCAGUUUCACAGUCAGAAAAAUGGAGAAGGAAAAUUCAAAGGAACUCUCAAUAUAAAGAAGUCGUUUGCAACUAUUGCAAAAAAUCAGGACAUACAAUUUAUUAGUGCUACAGAAUUGUUGGCUUUCCUCCAAAUUUUAAAUUCAUUAAGUCUAAAAAAUCUCAGGGAGUUGCUCAUACUAAUGCUGCAAUUGGAGAAGGAAGUGCAACUCAAAUAGUCCAUUGGGGAGAGGGAAAUUCAGCAGGAAAUAUAACACCAGAACAAUUUUCUCAGCUCUAUCAUUUGCUCCAACAGGUGAAAGUUGGACAACAAGGUGAGCAAAUGACUGAGUGUUGAUACACAAUUUUUUCCCAUGUAUUUAUAUACUCAAAAUACUCCCAAAAUAGCAUGUAUAUGUAUAUAUAAGCAUCCACAAAGGUCUUGGUAUUUUUCUACUUUUGAUUAGGUUUUUAAAAUCAAUUUACGGCUUAAUUUGCAAUAUAAAAUCCAAUAUUUAGUCCCAAAUCAUGUUAUUUUGACAAGUAAUCUAUUUCAUUCUCUCAUCUACGUAUAAUAUAAUUUAUAUAAUUUUUUACAGAAUUUUACAAAGCCAUUGGGUAUUUCUAAAUUAAAAUUGCAUUAUAUUGCAAUUGUAGCCCAUAUUUAAAUUUAAUAAGUAUUUGUAUUGCAAAAUUGUUCCUAAUACUUUUCAACUAAUACCUAGUUACAUUUUAUUAACUCAAUAUUUUUAUUGGAUUUUUAUAAGGUUGUUUCUAUUUUAUAAAAUUAAAUUGGGAGAAAUGACUAUUUAAAUGGUAACCUUUUAUGUUUCAAAUCUAACCCAAAUUAAACCCCCAAAUUGACCCCCCAAUUACCUGAUCCAAUAUCAAAAUUACCCGACCCAAACCCACAUAAAACUAACCUGCCCCAGUUCCCUUUAAUAGUGGCCGUUGAUCACUCAGAUCAACGGCCCACAUUUCACUUACCAAAAUUAAAUUCCAAAUAACCCCUAAACCCUAAUCAGUUUACCAAACCAGCCGCCUUUGAACCCUAAAUGCUCUCUAGCCACCUGAACCCUAAUCUUCUCCGGCUCUAUUUCACCGGCGUUCAUGGUCGUUCAAGCCCUAAGACGUCUUUAUCCGUUCACUCCUCAUCUCUCGUGGUUCCUGGGUUCGAAGAUCGGAACCCUACCUCAAAGUUGACUGGACGAGAGGUCCUCCGAUGUGAUUCCUUCAGCCGUGUCCGGCCUUUCUCCGACAAGCCUUUAGUCUCGUGGUCCUUUACCGACUCCGACGAGUCCAGUCCAGGCUUUUCUCGAUACUUCGAGUCCUUUCUCUGAAAACACUAAUUUCUUGAGGUUCUUCUCUUUGUUCACUUUUACGAUCCUCUCUGAGUCCUAGUAAUCUUCUAAAGAUUUUUAAAUAUUUCUCGCCUCUUCUUCGCCUAUUUUUGUUUUCAAACUGUUCGUCUUUUUAAACUUAGGGUUUCCAUGACUUCUCUGAUUUCUUUGAUUUCGUUGUUUUAUUUGCUACUGUGUGUUCUUCUAUAUGAUUUUUGAGCAUUUUCUACUAUGGCUCCGAGGCGUUUUGCUUCACUAAUUAUUUUCUAGGGUUUUCAGUUAAUGUGUUCUAUGCUUUCCUUUAUGCUGUUCUGAUUUUGUUCACCUUCAUCUAUGAUAUUCUUAUGCUCUAAUAUGCAUUGGAAACCGUUGCUUUAUGGGGGCUUUUCCAUUGUCUCUCUAUGAAACCCUAGCCGCCUCGAAUUGCUUUCGUGUGUGUUUUUCUACAUGUUUAUUCUACUACUUCCAGUUUAUGCAUGCUCGAAUCUAUGCAUCUUUUGUAUUACCAUUUCCCCUUUCUCUGAGCAACCCUAAAUUGGAAAAUUGAGUUUGUACAGUUGUUUGAUUCUCUAAUUGAACUUUGUUUUCUGACUAAGUUCGAAUAAGCUAGUAUCUCAAUUCCUUGAUUUUCUAGGUAAUUAGCCCGCCUUAUAUGUUUACCCGUGUGAUUUUCAAAACUUCUUACACAUAUUUGCUCUAUAUUAUGUGAUUAAUACUCGAUUUUCUUUCCAAAAUUAGGCUAAUAUUUAUUUACCUCCAGCCGUUCCUUAAUUAAAAGGAGCCUUCUCCUUAAUUGUUUAUGAUUGGUACUGAACCUGUAAACGGCUUUUAAAUGCUAAAUCUGUGGUUUCAAACGUUUUUCCUGCCUAAGUUUAAUAUUUCAAGGUCUUUAAAACUUUUCUCUCGUUCAAACGGUGUGGCUGACUUGUAAGCCUUUUCUAAACUUGUCUGUAACUUUAAAUCUCCUUUAACAGACUCUUGUCACUAACGUUUUCCUCCUGAUUUUCUAAAUCUUGUCAAUUCCUGAAACGGGCCCGGGGAGCUCGUAGUAGAUUUUCUAUCCAACUCUUAUGUAUUAAACUUAUCUGCCUGCUCUUUUAACCUCUUUUAAAGAUCAAAUCAGUAUUUUAUGUCAUGCUAAACUAGUUGCUGUUAUGUUACGGGGUUUAUUUGAGACUUUAAUUGUCCUAUUUGCAUACCACUUAUAUGCUAUGUGUUUUGACUGUCGUUCUAGUUUUUUUUCCUUUGAAACUAUUAUGUAUAUCCUAUCUCUCUCGCCCCCUUCUUAGGAUUAGAAGUCCUAAUACCCCAGGACUAACAGGGAAUACUCCAUAUAUAUAUCCUAUCUUUCUCUCCCCCUUUUGGGAUUAAAAGUCCUAAUACCCCAGGACUAACAGGUUGGGACGGGUAUUAGCAUGCAAUAAGUAAACGAUACCAACACUUUUAAAUACCUUAACGGGGUGGGAAGGGUAGAAUAUGGAGAUGAUGACCGGCAUGCUAAUACCAUAUGCGACCCCUCUUUGAGGAGUUUGUGUAGGGUUUUGUACCGAUGUGAUCCAUAUUAUAAUUAAACCUAGGACCCUUAUCUCUUUUGUUUGCUUUAUUUAAAUGUUCUCCUAUAGUCAUGCUUUUCCAAAUCAAUCCUCCCUUUUAUUUUAAACUUAUGUCCUUCCUUCUUCUUUAAAACUUUCAAGUUGUGUGAAUGCUAUAUUUGUGAACCUUAUUUGUUUAAUUGCUUCAUUUCUUUAUAAAGUCACAAUUAACACGGCUGGGAACCACACUAGUGGAUCUUGAGGGGUGCCUAACACCUUCCCCUCGAGAUAAUCUCAAGCCCUUACCCGAACUCUGGUUUACUAGUGGAUCUUGAGGGGUGCCUAACACCUUCCCAUCGAGAUAAUCUCAAGCCCAUACCCGAACUCUGGUUUUCUUUCAAAAUACUUCUCCUAUCUCUAAAAGUGUUCUAUUGCACUAUAACCAUUAGGUGGUGACUCUUCAAAUUCCAUAAAACAACUCCCAAAGGGGAAUGAGAGUUGUUUUGCCCAUAAUGUCGUAAAACCCAAUUUCUGUUUUUGAAAAAGGAGGCGUCGACAACAUGGAGACUCUGCUGGGGAAUCUAUUUAAGGCUCUUACCAUUACGUGUUUUGUGACUUUAUUACUUUCUUUAUUACCUUUACUUAUUGUUUUAAUCAUUUCUUCUCAAUUAAAAACUUGUUUCUUCAUGUCUUCUUUUUUUGCUUUGCAACUGUUUACUGCUUUACUGCCUUUAUUUUAUUUUAUUCCAUUUUAAAUACCGAGCAUCUAUUGUAAUCAUUAUAUUAUGAAUGUGAAAAUACAUGUAUUUAUUUUAUUAUUGUAAUUGCACCUUUCAACAUCAUUUUACACUCGUGCCAAACAAAUACUAUGGCAACGCUUAUAAUGAGUGGUUGCGCUCUUCCAAUAUUUAUAAACCCCUUAAAUUUUGAAAAGGCAUAUUUGCGAUAAAACCGGUCUAUGAACGGUGUAGUCGGCGGUUCUGUGCCUUUCCUUCUUGAGUUGUCCGCUCAAGGGUACCUUGUCUAGCACUUCAAAAGUAGGAACCUUACUAUGUUUAACUGUUCACGCAUCAUGGUCAAACUAGCCGAGUCAGUUAUGUUGUCCGCAUAAGGCCUCAUUAGGAUAGCCUAAGCCAAAAGUCCAUUGGGUUUCCUUGAAACCCAAACAGACAUUCUCGUUAUGCGCAUUGAUUUGGAGAACUAAAUACCUUUUUCUAAUUAUUAAUUUAAAUAGUCGCAUCUGGUGGGGUUAAGGUCCUAACCUCUAUUUUGCAGGAAAUGAGGCAUGAGGUCCCCUGAUUCGGUAUGGUAUCAAGCAUUCACCCAAAGUUACUAAGCUGGUGGGAGGAUCUGCAUGGUAGUGAUCGGGUUUUUGUCCGCAAGCACAUUGGAGAUCUCCCUUCACUCCUGGAAGUUAGGCCAGAUAAUAAGAUUGUGGAAGCUGCUACUAUGUUUUGGGAUAGUGAACGGUGUGUCUUCCGCUUUGGCGGUAUUGAAAUGACGCCGCUGUUGGAAAAAAUUAGGGGUCUAGCCGGAAUUCCUUGGGAUAGCCCGGGGCUGUUUAUGCCAGAAAACCGCAAAGGUAGAGGGAAAUGAUGGGGCUAAAGAAGAAUCCUAAUCUAACCAGUACGAAGGAUACCUACAUAUCCUUCGACUUCAUGUAUGAAAUGUUUGGACAUAGCAAAUCCUACCACACUCACAUAGACGAGUUCGCCCUCACCUCUUUGGGGCACAUACAUAGGAGAGCCUUUGUAUUCAUGUCCUGUUUCCUGGGCAUGAUAGUCUUUCCAAUGAAGAAGGCUAGAAUCCACACAAGAUUAGCCAUGGUUACCAAAGCCACAAUGGAGGGUAUCGACGGGCAGACAUUCAACAUAGCACCCAUGAUCCUUGUCGAACUAUACCGAGCCUUAGAGAAAUUUCAACAAGGGGCACCACACUUUGAAGGGUGCAAUUUGCUACUACAACUCUGGCUCAUUGAACANNNNNNNNNNNNNNNNNNNNNNNNNNNNNNNNNNNNNNNNNNNNNNNNNNNNNNNNNNNNNNCAACAUUACUAUUACAUAUGGUGCAAUUUUCUACUACAACUAUGGUUCAUUGAACAUCUUCAGAAGGGAGAUUAUAGACAAGAGAUCAUACGACGAGAUUGGGAUGACCAUAUCGCUUUCCAUCAUCCAAAGAGAAUGCACUUCAUGCCAGAUAUGUUCGCUCGUCCGGAAGAUGCCAGUAGAUGGGUAGAACUAUUUGAGAAUUUGAAAGAAGAGCAGGUACAAUGGAUUUAGGAAUGGUUUCUAACAGGUACCCUUAUGUCCAUCUCCGAGUCAUGAGGCGAAGCGGGAAGAAAGCAGAUUAUACCAAGGGUAGAAACGUUGAGUCACUACAGGGCUGACUUCUAAGAUGAUGAUAGUCCACACAGGUGUCGGGCUCAGCAUAUGUGGCAUUCCAAACUCAUUUUAGAAAGGAAUCUAUGGAACCAGACAUGUAUCAGGCAGGGCUUGCGCCGCUUUAUCCAGGAUGGCUAGAAGACGAUCAUAUUGGCUUGGGAAAAACAGGUUUCAUCCAUGGUCACAGGGUUAUUGAUGAGAACAUUGAAGCAAAGGUCAAGUAUAAUGAGCUACGCAAACGGAUGCGAGAGUGUGAAAGUGAAUAUCGGGAAAUACUAGAGGCCCAAGAGAAGAUAAUCAAUGAGUGAAAAGACAUGGAUGUCUCUGCAAACAACCGUUUAGGGUACUUGGAACAGGGUCUAGUGGAGCUGGAAGGCAAGUUUCUGAUAAGGAUCAACGACUGUUAGGAAGCUGAGGGUAACGAAGGUGGGCACUUGGCUCGGGCUUACUUGUUGCUGGGACUGCGCGAGCUGAUGAAGCUGUACGAGGGAGGCAAAGAUACCGAAUCUGGGGAAGGUCCUUCUUGACCAAGUAUUUGGGAUUUUUACUGCUUUCUUGAUGUAAUAAGGGCACUGGCCAUUAGUGACAAUUUCUCUUUAUUUUCAGUCUGUUUUGACUCGUUCUAUUUUCUAUCGAUAAAAUGAGGCACUUGGUGUUAUAAGUNNNNNNNNNNNNNNNNNNNNNNNNNNNNNNNNNNNNNNNNNNNNNNNNNNNNNNNNNNNNNNNNNNNNNNNNNNNNNNNNNNNNNNNNNNNNNNNNNNNNNNNNNNNNNNNNNNNNNNNNNNNNNNNNNNNNNNNNNNNNNNNNNNNNNNNNNNNNNNNNNNNNNNNNNNNNNNNNNNNNNNGAAUCCGCACUAACUUUUUACCUUUUUGUUUUUCUUUUAUUUUUAUUCCCCUACCCAAAGGUUAGUUCGUGCAUUCUGGCACCAUCACCAUGCUCAAUAAGAUCAAAGGUCCUCCUCCUCCUCCUCCGAGUCCCCCCAGAAACAGGAACAAAGGAAAGAUGGGAGAUAAUUAAGCAAGAAAUGAAAUUUAAGGAACUUCCCAAGGUACCCCGAUCACCAAAGAGACUGCUAUUCAUUUGGAGCAAACUUUGCUAAGGUUCCAAGAGGAACUAGACCCGGUCAAGAGUUUGGCAAGUUUGUCCAUCUCCCUUGCUGUUGCAGAUGUCAACAAUCAGGUCCCUGCACCUCCGCAGAAGACCCUAACCCAAGCUCGCAACAAUGCUCCACCACUCAUCCCUGAGCCUCAAAAUGCUCCAAACCAAAAGUCCUAGUGCUGUUGCAGAUGUCAACAAUCAGGUCCCUGCACCUCCGCAGAAGACCCCAAUCCAAGCUCGAAACAAUGCUCCACCGCUCAUCCCUGAGCCCCAAAAUGAUCCAAACCUUCGUGGAUACUGUGCCGUAAUAUGCAUGGUCUAUAUCAGAUGUAUCAGAAUUAGACUAACUCAUUCAGAACUUGGCUGCUGAACUCAAGAAACUCACUUGCAGGGUUCAAGGCGUGGAAGGUGAUAAGGGUGUGGAGAAUUUGAAUAUGAAGACCUUUGUGUUCAACCUGAUGUUGAAAUCCCAGAGGGGUACAAACCUCCUAAGUUCGAAAUGUUCGAUGGUACUGGUGAUCCCAGGGUUCACCUCAGGAUGUAUUGUGACAAGUUGGUGGGAGUUGGUAGAGAUGAAAAGAUCCACAUGAACCUAUUUAUGAGGAGCCUGAAAGGUGAUGCUUUAUCCUGGUAUAUCAGCCAUGAUGCAAAGAAGUGGACAAGCUGGGUGAACAUGGCAUCCGAUUUUAUGGAUCGUUUUAGAUUCAACACUCAGAAUACGCCAGAUGUAUUCUAUAUAAAAAAUUAUAAGAAAAAGCCUAAUGAAACCUUUCACGAGUAUACUACUCAUUGGAGGUCGGAAGCUGCCAAGGUCAGACCGACUUUAGAAUAAGAACAAAUGAAUAGGUUUUUGGUCCGUGCUCAGGAUCCACAGUACUACGAGAGAUUGAUGCUGAUAGAGAGGCAAAAGUUCUUUGAUAUCAUCAAACUGGGAGAAAGAAUUAAUGAGGGCAUUAAAAAUGGUAUGGUUACUAACCUUGAGGCACUGCAGCUACCAAAAAAGCCUUACAAUCUAGUGGUACGUUGAAGAAAAAAGACAUAAAAUCCGUAAUGGCUGCAAAGAGAAACCACUCUCCCAUGAAAUACCAACCAUACUCUCCAAAUCCACUCACAUACCAACCCUCUCUAAACUACUAGGUACCUUCACCUACCUAUCAAAAUCCACAUCACGUCUACCAAACAUCUCCAUCACCGACAUAUCAGCCCACCUCGCCAGGAUAUUCACGACCGCACCCGUAUACCAAGCUUACAACUCCCAACCUCCUCACUAUCCAUCACCACCUACCUGCCAAAACUUCCCACAACAGAGACCAAACUUUGACCACAAACCGCCCAGACAAUAUACCGCUAUUGCCUAACACAUUGACCAACUGCUUGAGAAUAUCAAAGUCGCUGGAUAUGUUACACCCAUUCCAGCCAUAACCCCAGAAAACCCUUCCCAAUGGAUCAACAUUAAUCCCAAUCUCCUCACUAUCCAUCACCACCUACCCGCCAAAACUUCCCACGACCAAGACCAAACUUUGACCGAAAAUAGCCCAGACAAUACACUGCUAUUGCCGAACCCAUUGACCAACUGUCUGAGAAACUCAAAGUCGCUGGAUAUGUUACACCCAUCCCAGUCAUAACCCUAGAAAACCCUUCCCAAUAGAUCAACCCAAAUAAAACAUGCGCAUACCAUUCGGGGAUGAAGGGCCACACCAUCGAUGAGUGCCGUUCGUUGAAGGACAAAACUUAGACCUUAAUUGACAACAAGGUCACUGUAGCUAAAGAGCCUACUCGCAAUGUUCGUAACAACCCUUUACCAGACCAUAAAGGUGGAGGCAUCCACAUGAUUGAGGUUGAAGACGACUGGGACCCCGACAGGUCAAUCGGUUUGAUAUCUGAAGGAGAUGAGCCCAAAAAGCUAGCGGUCACUCUUAAUCCUAUUGUUGUACAGAUCCAUCCAUCUAAGGGCAAUAUGGUGAAUAUAUCUGUACCAUUUGAGUUCGAGGCACCUCCUGCAAAAGUUCCAAAACCAAUUGAGGUGGAGUUCGGGACUCUAAAGGCGCCCGCACCGAUUGAAGUUGCUAUGUUGCCUCCAAGGGUGCCCAUUCUGGUCACCAUGUCAGACAUAACCUCAUUUCAAUCAAAUGCCAUACCUUGGACUAAAAAAUCGAGGCAAGAAGGAAGGGAAAAGCACGCACGGGUAAAGCAAUCGCCGCGCAAGGUGUGACUAGAACAUGCAGGGUGUACAUACCAGAGCACCUAGCUGAGUCCAACAAGCAGGCCUCUGGAUGUCCCACUGAAAUUGGACCUGAUGAUCUCUAGGGAAUAUACAGGCUAAAGAAUAUUCAGCUGUUGAACAGCUAAACAAAACUCUGGCACAUAUUUCCAUCUUGGCAUUGCUGCAGAGUUCCCAGGCGCAUAAGAACACCUUGAUGAAUAUAUUGAGCGAGGCUUCUGUCCCGAGCAACAGAACAUGAGGAGAGAUUGCAAACAUGAUAGGGCAUGUAUUGGAAAGUCACAAAAUCACUUUCCACAAGGAUGAAUUGCCACCUGAAGGGACCGGCCAUAACAAAGCACUAAUCAUUACUGUGCAAGGAGAAAGAGAUAAAGAAGAAAAUUCUCAAAUUCCCACAAAUGGUUUGAAUAAGCAUUCCUUAGAGAGGGAAUGUCGGAUGAGACACUAUUUGGCCUUCUUUCAGGAGUUGUAGAUAGUAUCACCUUUAGCUGGUAGCUAGCAAAGAAGUUAUCCCCUAUCAACGUAUAUAGUUGAGGAAUGAGUGCAACAUGAAGAUCAUUUCAUCACCAGGAUUUUAGUCAACAGAGGUUCUAGCCUCAACAUUUGUCCAUUGAUCACCCUCAAGAAGUUCAAAGGAUUUCAUGAGAUAAAAGAUGGGGCUAUUAACGUUAAGGCUUUUGACGGAUCUCAGAGGUCCACCCUCGGGGAGAUUAGCCUAUAUUUGCAAAUGGGCCCCACUUUGUUUGAUGUUGAUUUCCAAGUCAUCGACGUACCAGCAUCUUACAACUUAUUGCCAGGACGACCCUGGAUCCAUGCCGCUGGGGCUGUGGCAUCAACCUUUUAUCAGGCCGUGAAGUUCGAGUGGAACCAUCAGGAAGUGAUCAUCCAUGGCAACGGUAGCAACCCCAUAUACAGUCUCCAGACCAUUCCGAUGAUCGAAGGCAGAAGAAGAAUAGGCGCAGAAACAUAUCACCAUAUUGAGCGAGUCAACGCAGUGGACAAGAACAAAUGAUGGAGUAACAAGGUCGAGAGCAUUAGUAAUUGGAGCGGGUAUGAACCAAGGAAAGGACUUGGUAAGAAUCUUCAGGGCAUCACGAAACCUAUCCAGUUGAAGAAGCAUGGUACUACAUUCGGACUAGGGUACGAGUACACUUGGAAGGAAUUCAAAAAUUGGUCACCACCACGGCGCAGUCCAUAUUACCCAUUGGAAUACCCCAUACCUCAGUUGGAGUAGAAAUUUCAGCCAGCCUACACUCUUUACGGGCCAGAAGAAGACGAGGCUCUUACGACAAUGAAGAACUUGUUUUUGGAGGAGGACAUGGACUGUUGUGUGACUUUUGAAUAGGAAAGGGAGGAAGGCCCUUCCUUUCAGGCUAUAAACCUUGGGGAUCACCUUGCCAAUUGGUCAAUCAGGACCACCAUCGCCCGGAAAUCUUCAGGGUAUCAAGGCUGAACAAGCAUCAUGCAUCUUUGUUUUAGUUGUUCCUUUACUUCCCGCAAUUUCUUUACUUUUCAAAAAAGCUCCGAUAAUUUGAAUAUUUAUGAAUUCAAUCAAAAGAAUUUUUCAGUUUAUCAAAUAUCUCGCUAUUCAUUACUUUUCUCUGCUAUUUACUUUAUUUUCCACACAACAUUACUAUUACGUAUCUUGAUGAUGAACUAACAACUGUAACUUGCAACGAGCUAUGCAACAAACAGACAUAGACUUAGAGGAAGAUGAUAUACCAGAAGAGGUUGUCACAGAGGUCGAGAAUUUUGAGAAUAGACCUAAGUCCAUCUUGGAUGAAAUCGAGGUCGUCAAUUUGAGAGAUAUAGAGAAUGUCAAAGAGACGCGCAUCAGUGUGCACUUAUCUCGGACAGAAAAAGAGGAAUAUACAGAGUUCUUAAAGGAAUAUGAGGAUAUCUUUGCAUGGUAUUAUGACAAUAUGACUCGUCUCAGUACAUCCAUCGUUGCUCACAAGUUAUCGAUAGAUCCGGCAUGUCCACCGGUAAAACAGAAGCUCAGAAAAUUCAAGCCAGAUAUGAGUUUAAAAAUAAAAAAGGAGGUCACUAAGCAGUUCAAAGCCAGAGUUCUUCAAGUGGUAGAGUACCCGACCUGGUUAGCUAACAUCGUGCCAGUAACGAAGAAGGAUGGGAAAGUUAGAGUCUGUGUCGUCUACCGGGAUAUCAAUCGGGCCAGUCCCAAAGAUGAUUUCCCCUUGCCAAACAUACACAGUUGCAGUCAUUCGUCAAUUGGGCAGGGUACCAUAAAAAAUAUGGAUGGAUAAAGAAGAUGCAGAGAAAACGGUGUUUAUCUCGCCUUGGGGAAUGUAUUGCUACAAAAUGAUGCCGUUUGGAUUGAAGAAUGCGGGAUCUACUUAUAUGUGGGUCAUGACUACCCUCUUUCAUGACAUGAUACAUAAGGAGAUUGAGGUAUAUGUGGACAAUGUCAUCAUCAAGUCCAGGAAGGCAACAGAUCACAUGGAGGACCUCCGAAAAUUUUUCAACAGACUAAGGAGUAUAACUUAAAAUUGAAUCUCGCCAAGUGUGCAUUUGGGUUCCUUGUGGGGAAGUUAUUGGGUUUCAUCGUGAGCCGUCAAGGAAUAGAGCUGGAUCCAUCAAAAGUCAAAUAUAUUCAAGAGUUUCCACCGCCAAAGAGCAAGAAAGAGGUAAUGAGUUUCCUGGGGAGACUCAACUAUAUCAGCCGAUUCAUAGCUCAGUCUACAUCAUCUGCGAACCUAACCUAUCUUGAAGAUGCUGAAGAAGGAUGCCGCCACCAAAUGGACCGAUGAAUGCAAAGGCUUUUGACAGGAUCAAGGAAUACUUGUCUACACCUCUAGUCCUGGUUCCGUCUGAACCUGGUACCUUUAUUGCUCUAUCUCACAAUUUUGGAGGGAGCAUCCUGUUGAGUCUUGGGACAACAUGAUGAGACAAGGAGAAAGGAUCAAGAUAUUUACCACCUCAGCAAGAAAUUUACCCCGUACGAGGCUCGGUAUUCCUUACUAGAAUGCACCUGUUGUGCUUUGACCUGGGUAACUCAGAAAUUGAGGCAUUAUUUCUGUGCUUACACUACCUACCUUAUAUCAAGAAUGGAUUCGCUCUGUUGUGCUUUGACCUGGGUAACUCAGAAAUUGAGGCAUUGUUUCAAUGCUUACACUACCUACCUAAUACCAAGGAUGGAUCUACUAAAAUAUAUUUUUCAGAAGCCCAUGCUCACUGGCGAGCUCGCCAAGUGGCAAAUUUUGUUGAGUGAAUUCGACAUUGUCUAUGUCACUUAAAAGGCAGUCAAACGACAGGCUUUGGAAGAUCAUCUUGCAGAAAAUCCUGUAGGAGGGGAGUAUGAACCAUUGAAGACGUAUUUUCCCGAUGAGGAAGUAGAUUUCAUAGGGAAGACAUUGCAGAAUCCUAUGACGGUUGGAGGAUGUUUUUCAACGGAGCCGCAAAUUUCAAAGCGGUGGGUAUCGAAGCAAUCCUGGUAUCAGAAACCGGUUCUUAGGAGAGGAUAUUGCAGAAUUCUAUGAUGGUUGGAGAAUGUUUUUCGACGAAGCCGCAAAUUUCGAAGGAGUUGGUGUCGGAGCGGUCUUGGUAUCAGAAACCGGUCAAAAUUACCCGGUAUCAGCCAAGAUCAGGUUCCCGUGCACCAAUAAUAUGGCCGAGUAUGAAGAUUGCAUCUUGGGGCUUAAAAUGGCCAUUGACAUGAACAUUCAGGAGCUGCUAGUGGUCGGAGAUUCAUACCUACUCAUACACUAGGUUCGAGAAGAAUGGGCAACCAAGAAUUCCAAGAUACUCUGUUAUCUGCACCAUAUACAGGAGUUGAGAAAGUGGUUCAGAAAAAUGGAAUUCCAGCAUGUUCCAAGAAUACAGACUGAGUUCGCAGAUGCGCUUGCCACUUUAUCAUCUAUGAUUCAGCAUCCAGAUACAAACUUCAUCAACCCUAUCUAUGUCAAAAUUCAUGAUCAACCGACAUAUUGUGCACAUGUUGAGGAAGAAGCCGACGGAAAACCCUGAUUCCACAACAUCAAAGAAUACCUGACAACAUGAGAAUAUCCAGAGCUUGCUAAUGUUACCAGAAGCGCACGCUUCAGAGAUUAUCCAACAAUUUCUUUCGUAGUAGAGCAAUCCUGUAUAGGAGGACCCCCGAUUUGGGACUAUUGAGGUGUGUCGAUGCGACAGAAGGAAAAAAGUUAUUGGAGGAAGUACACUCAGGGACUUGUGGGCCGCACAUGAAUGGUUUUGUUCUAGCAAAGAAGAUACUCCAAGCAGGAUAUUUUGUGAUGAUUAUGGAGACAUACUGAAUUCAGUAUGUCCGAAAGUGUCAGCGGUAUCAGAUACAUGCAGAUAUGAUGAAGGUACCUCCGAAAGAGCUCAAUGCAACAAGCUCAUCGUGUUCAUUCGCUGCUUGGGUAAUGGAUGUUAUUGGACCAAUAGAGCCUGCCGUAUCAAACGAACACAUGUUCAUCUUAGUGGAAAUGGAUUACUUUACUAAAUGGGUUUAAGCAUCAUCAUAAAAAACAAUAACCAAGAAAGUCGUGGCAGACUUUGUUCGAGAUCGUAUUGUCUGUCGAUUCGGGAUUCUAGAGUCGAUCAUCACUGUUAAUGGUUCCAACCUCAAUAGCGACUUGAUGAAAGCAAAGUGUGAAACUUUCAAGAUCAGGCACAGAAAUUCUACAGCUUAUAGACCUCAGAUGAAUGGAGCUGUGGAAAUAGCCAAUAAGAACAUCAAGAAAAUACUAAGGAAAGUGAUCGAAAGGCAUAAGAUGUGGCAUGAGACGUUGUCAUUCGCUUUAUUGGGUUAUCGUCCUAAAACUCGCAUAUCAACCGUUACAACUCCUAUAUGCUGGUUUACGCUACAGAGGCGGUAAUUCCCGCCGAGGUAGAAAUUCCGUCCUUGAGAAUCAUACAAGCUGAGCUAGAUGACAUAGAAUGGGUCAAGGGUCGCUACGAGCAGUUACCCUUUAUAGACAGAAAGAGAAUGCAUACUGUCUGUCACGGUCAAUUAUAUCAGAACAAAAUUUCCAGAGCCUUCAACAAGAGAGUUAGACCAAGGAAGUUUACACCAGGGCAGCUGGUGUUGAAAAAAAUAUUUUCACAUCAAGAUGAAGCCAAAAGGAAGUUCUCUCCCAACUGGCAGGGUCCGUACAUGGUUCACCGGGUUCUAACUGGAGGAGCCCNNNNNNNNNNNNNNNNNNNNNNNNNNNNNNNNNNNNNNNNNNNNNNNNNNNNNNNNNNNNNNNNNNNNNNNNNNNNNNNNNNNNNNNNNNNNNNNNNNNNNNNNNNNNNNNNNNNNNNNNNNNNNNNNNNNNNNNNNNNNNNNNNNNNNNNNNNNNNNNNNNNAUUGGCCAAAACCGAUCAACUCAGAUGCAGUGAAGAGAUACUACAUUUAAUCAGUAUGCUUUCCCCUUACAAUGUAAUUUGAACUAUGCCUGACCUGAUUUUCGUUUAAGAGGGGAUACGUAGGCAGCCCUAUGGGUUCGGUCACAUAUUUAAUAAAAGUCCAUCCCCCCACCCCACAUAUGGAACUGGGGCAGAAUUUUGAGGAGGACCCCUAAAAUUCCGAAGUCAGUUUGUGAGUUUCUUCAUCAGCAUCAACCCAGUAAAAUGGGGUAGAAUUUUGAGUCUCAAAAUUUCCAGGUCGAUCCAUUUUCAAGUCAUUCAGCACCACCGUCAGCAGCGCCAGCCUAGAGAACUGGGGCAUAAUUUUGGGGCGGACCCUCAAAAUUCUAGAGCCAACAAGGUUGCGGUGUCUUGAACCACGUUGUAGUUGUCGGUUCAUCAUAAAACAAAAUUAUUGUUUUCUUUACUUAUAUAUACAUUUUCAUCGUGUUUGCCAAAUUUUUGCAUGAAAUCAUUCAGAUCGAUAUCGUUCAGCAACGCUACCCCAAAUGGCACAGGACACCACGAGUUGAGGGAUGCGAACUAACCAUUCCCCUUUGCAGAGCUUAGGAUCUUUCUUUGGAUGCAGGAAUCCAGAAUACAAAUAGGCGGCGCAUGUGUUUUACAAAUCUGAAGUUCCCGAAACCACUACUUACCUUGCAAAGGUUUACUAUCAACAUUCAACACUUCCCCGGCAGUCAUGAUAUCGCAAUCAUCUACCCGCUAAGAAAAUCACCAUCAUCCUCUCCUUUAUAUUACUGCAUUUUGCAUAAGGCUAUUCUCUGCAUUUAGAGGUUAAGUGUUACCUCCAUCCUGCAUAAGGCUAUUCUCUGCCUUCCGAGGUUAAGCUCUACAUCCAUCCUGCAUAGGGCUAUCUUCUGCCUUUCGAGAAUAAGCUCUGUCUCCAUCUUGCAUUUUGCAUAAGGCUAUUCUCUGCCUUCCUAGGCUAAGCUAUACCUCCAUCUUGCAUAAGGCUAUCUUCUGCCUUUAGAUACUAAGCUCUGUCUCCAUCUUGCAUUUUGCAUAAGGCUAUUCUCUGCCUUCCGAGGUUAUGCUCUUCCUCCAUCCUGCAUAGGGAUAUUCUUUGCCUUCCGAGGUUAAGCUCUACCUCCAUCCUGCAUAAGGCUAUCUUCUGCCUUUUGAGACUANNNNNNNNNNNNNNNNNNNNNNNNNNNNNNNNNNNNNNNNNNNNNNNNNNNNNNNNNNNNNNNNNNNNNNNNNNNNNNNNNGCAUAAGGCUAUCUUCUGCCUUUUGAGACUAAGCUCUGUCUCCAUCUUGCAUUUUGCAUAAGGCUAUUCUCUACCUUCCAAGGUUAAGCUCUACCUCCGUCCUGCAUAGGUCUAUUCUCUGCCUUUCGAGACUAAACUCUGUCUCCAUCCUGCAUUGCAUAAGGCUAUUCUCUGCCUUUCGAGGUUAAGCUCUACCUUCUUUAUUUUGAAUUUGGCUGAAAAAUCAUCACCCACUUUCAUUUGGCUGAAAUAUCGCCGCCUUGCAUUUUAAAUUCUCGCUUUGGUUGAAAUAUCGCCACCCUUACAUUCAUUCGGUUGAAAUAUUUCCACCUUCUCAUGGGCUAAAAUAUCGCCAACUUAUUCAAAGGCAUCAUAGUUCGAAGGCACCAUCCGCAUAUCCCGAGAACACCAUUUCAUGGCCUGCAAAUCUUUACUUUAUGCUCUUCAUAGCCGAGGACGUCAUAGUCUGAGGACACCAUCCUAAUCGUCCGAAGACACCAUUCAUGGUCCAAUGGGAACUUGCAUCACGUUUAAAUUAUGCAAAAUAUAUGCACAUCGUUCAUUUGCAGGUACAUAACCAGUAAUCGUCCGAAGACACCAUUCAUGGUCCAAUGGGAACUUGCAUCACGUUUAAAUUAUGCAAAAUAUACGCACAUCGUUCAUUUUCAGGUACACCGGCUGGCACACUCACCUCAGCAGGAGCAGUCCCGCUCCAGUUUUCCGCAGCCCAUCCGAUCUCCGAACCCUUGACAAGUCUCAAACCCCGUUGCGUUCGCCUUUUCCAAAUUUUCAUUGGCAUAUCCCGCCAAUGGUCCCUGAACUACAUACGGCCCAAUUCCUGUAAAACCAAGGAUAUGUAGGCAGCUCAGAAGCCAGAGCACGGUCGAACUUCUCUUAUAGUCGUCAUUUCCGGUCAAAAUUGGCCAUCUAUUCUUUACCCGACAACUCUUUCAUCCUCCUCGGGUAAAGAGGGGCAGUUGUUGAUACCCAAUUUUCUUUACCCGACAACUCUUUCAUCCUCUUCGGGUAAAGAGGGGCAGCUGUUGAUACCCAAUUUUUCCCCAUGUAUUUAUAUACUCAAAAUACUCCCAAAAUAGCAUGUAGAUGCAUAUAUAAGCAUCCACAAAGGUCUUGGUAUUUUUCUACUUUUUUAGGUUUUUAAAAUCAAUUUACGAUUUUUUUGGCAAUAUAAAAUCCAAUAUUUAGUCCCAAAUCGUGUUAUUUUGAAAGUAAUCUAUUUUAUUCUCUCAUAUACAUAUAAAUAUAAUUUAUAUAAUUUUUUAUAAAGCCAUUAGGUAUUUCUAAAUUAAAAUUAUAUUUUAUUGCAAUUUUAGCCCAUUUGUCGAUUUAAUAAGUAUUUUUAUUGCAAAAUCAUUCCUAAUAUUUUUUAACUAAUACGUAGAUAUAUUUUAUUAACUCAUAUUUUUAUUGGAUUUUUAUAAGGUUUUUUUUGUAUUUUUAUGAAAUUUAAAUGGGAGAAAUGGUUAUUUAAAUGGUAGCCCUUUUUGUUUCAAUUCUAACCCAAAUUAACCCCCCAAAUUGACCCCCCAAUUACCUGACCCAAUCUCAAAAUUACUCGACCCAAACACACAUAAAACUAACCCGCCCCAGUUCCCUUUAAUCCUGGUCGUUGAUCACUCAGAUCAACGUCCCACAUUUUACUUAACAAAAUUAAAUCCCAAAUAACCCCUAAACCCUAAUCAGUUUAUCAAACCAGCCGCCUUUGAACCCUAAAUGCUCUCUAGCCCCUCCCGAACCCUAAUCGUCUCUAACUCUAUUUCACCGGCGUUCAUCGCCGUUCAAGCCCUAAGACGUCUUUAUCCAUUCACUCCUCAUCUCUCCUGGUUCCUGGGUUCGAAGAUCAGAACCCUACUUCGAAGUUGACUGGACCAGAGGUCCUCCGAUGUGAUUCCUACAGCCAUGUCCGGCCUUUCUACGGCAAGCCUUACGGCCCUGGGUCCUUUUCCGACUCCAACGAGUCCAUUCCAGGCUUUUCUCGAUACUUCGAGACCUUUCUCUGAAAACCCUAAUUUCUCGAGGUUCUUCUCUUUGUUCACUUUUACGAUCCUCUCUGAGUCCUAGGUAUCUUCUAAAGAUUUUAAAGUAUUUCUCGCCUCUUCUUCGCCUAUUUUUGUUUUCAAAUUGUUCGUCUUUUUAAACUUAGGAUUUUCCAUGACUUCUCUGAUUUCUUUGAUUUCGUUAUUUUAUUUGCUACUGUGUGUUCUUCUCUAUGAUUUUUGAGAAUUUUCUACUAUGGCUCUGAGGCGUUUUGCUUCACUGAUUAUUUUCUAAGGUUUUAAGUUAAUGUGUUAUAUGCUUUACUUUAUGCUGUUCUGAUUUUGUUCACCUACAUCUAUGAUAUUCCUUAUGCUCUAAUAUGCAUUGGAAACCCUAGCUUUAAGGGGGAUUUUCCAUUGUCUCUCUGUGAAUCCCUAGCCGCCUCAAAUUGCUUUCGUGUGUGUUUUGCUACAUGUUUAUUCUACUACCUCCAGUUUAUGCAUGCUCGAAUAGCUACCUCAAAUUGGUUUCGUGAGUGUUUUGCUAUAUGUUUAUUCUACUACCUCCAGUUUAUGCAUGCUCGAAUCUAUGCAUCUUUUAUAUUACAAUUUCCCUUUAUCUGAGCAAUCCUAAAUUGGAAAUUGAUUUUGUACAGUUGUUUGAUUCUCUAAUUGAAGUCUGUUUUCUGACUAAGUUCGAAUAAGCUAGUAUCUCGAUUCCUUGAUUUUCUGGGUAAUUAGUCUGCUUUAUAUGUUUACCCGUGUGACUUUCAAAACUUCUUACACGUAUUUUCUCAAUAUUCUGUGAUUAGUACAUGAUUUUCUAGGUAAUUAGACCGCCUUAUAUGUUUACCCGUGUGAUUUUCAAAACUUCUUGCACAUUUUCUCUAUAUUCUGUGAUUAGUACUCGAUUUUAUUUCCAAAAUUAGGCUAAAGUUUAUUUACCUCCAGCCGGUUCCUUAAUUAAAGGGAGCCUUCUCCUUAAUUGUUUAUGAUUGUUACUGUUGAAUAUUUUCUUGCCUUAAGUGUUGCACCUCUUUCAAACUAUAAAAGCCUUCACCUUUUCUCACUUAACAGACACGGAUAUACGACUACUCUCUAAAUCUCUCACAGAAAACUCUCUUCUCUUUUAUAUUCUUCUUUGUUACUUGCUUGAUACACGACUACUCUCUAAAUCUCUCACUGAAAACUCCCUUCUCUUCUAUAUUCUUCUCUAUUACUUGCUCUCUUUUCUACGAAUUAGCCGGCUGAAAGCCAAGGUUAACUAUAAGGAUUUAUACUUGCUUUAUUAUUCAAGUUGUAUCUGGUAGGCUCCUAAUUUUACAUCAUCAACCUCCAACUAGUUGUUUACUUAACCAUGUUCCCUGUCUGUUUGUGCUUUCAGUUUAAGUUCAGCAUGUUUAACCCCGUUCCCUUCCCCUAGUCUAUUUGUAUAUUUCAAUUUAAGCUUUAGCAUGUUUAAUCCCCUUCCCGUUUCCCUUGUCUGUUAUGUUUAAGUUCAACAGGUUUAAUCCCCUUCCCCCAUUUCCCUUGUCUGUUUGUGUAUUUCAGUUGCUGCAUGUUUAAUUCUCCCUUUUCCCUUGUCUGUUUAUAUUUCCGUUUUUCAGCAUGCUCAGCCCCUUCUCUUGUCUGUUUAUUGUUCAUUAUUGUGGUUUAAGUUCUUAUACAGCCCUUUCCCCUGAAUCCUUUUAAUUUAGUCUUGUUCUCUCAAGUAUACUUAUGUGAUUCCCCUUUUCCUGAUCCCUGUUUGAAUAUGAGUGUGUUCUAGAUUAGGAUAGCAUCCCAUUGCCACUCCUAGUUUAGAACUAAGGUUGUUAACAGCCUAUACUCAAAGUAAUCCCAUUCCCUACCCCCAUAUUAUGUGUUUGAGCCUUGACAAAGGCCUUUUGGUGUCCUAAUCACCAUACAUACCCUAGUCUGACUUGUUUACAAGUCUUCUCUUGCUUGUUAACCUUUGUAAGUGGUUAGGGGUGUGCUAGCCUCACUCCAUAGGCUAGGUAUGACCACCUCCUACAUUGGUCUUCCUCUAAUUCCUCACUUUUACACUUAUUUUUAGUUCUUUAAGUUCUACCCUCCUCAGGUAAGCCAUGCUUAUGGAUCUUGGAGUCUCCUCUGAACUUGUAUGCCUUAGGGCUGCACUUAUUCUUAGUUCUUUAAGUUCUACCACCCUCUGGUAAGACAUGCUUAGGGACCUCGGAGUCUCCUCUAAACUUGAAUGCCUUAGGGCUGGUAAUUCCACACUUGCACUAUUCUAAUUGAUUAGAGUGUAGGAAUUGCCUGGUUUUCUUUGAAAGCCUUUGGAACUUUGAUACACUCUAAAGAGAAAGCCUCGGACUUGGGAGCCCGAAUUUGGUAAAAGGCAUAUGUUGGACAUUAAUGUUGCUUUGACACUCCUCGUGCCUGUUCUAGUUAUUGAUAUAUUCAACUUUUUUAUUCCUUUAAUGUUUUUUCUGUUCAGUUUUGUAAUAAUUUGUAAUAAAGGAACUCGGGAAUAAAGUAAAAGGGAUAUGGGGAGGGUUUGCAUUUUUGCAUCAAUUAGAUACCAUAUAUAUAAGGGUUUACUUUCUUGCAUCUCAUAUAGAUACCAUGUCUAUAGGCUUUUAUUAUUGCACAAUCUCAUGUAGAUAUCAUUAUGUAAGGCUUUUCGUUACUGCAUCAAUUUCAUAAUAGAAAUCAUGUCUAUAGGUUUGCAUUGUUCUAGCCUCAUAUAGAAACCAUGCUUAUAGGUUUGCAUUCUCAUAACCUCACCUAGAAAAUAUGCCUAUAGGAACUAUAUAAACGCUAGGCACAACAGUAGGUCGUCCAAAUUUGUAAAAAAAUAGUAACAAAAAGGAUCAGUGUACAUGUUAUAAAGGUCCAGCUCACCCAGUGCUUAAGAACGUUUCAAUCCAACUUGUCUUGAAUCUGAUUACUUUCAAAUUGGGCCCAUGUCUGCCCCUUUCAUAAUACUCUGAACCUGUAAACGUCUUUUAAAUGCUGAAUCUGUGGUUUCAAAUGUUUUGCCUUCCUAAGUUUAAUGUUUCAAGGUCAUUAAAACUUUUCUCUGGUUCAAACAGUGCGAUUGACUUGUAAGCCUUUUCUAAACUUGUCUGCAACUUUAAAUCUCUUUUAACAGACUCUUGUCUGAAACUAACGUUUUCCUCCUGGUUUUCUAAAUCCUGUCAAUUCCUAAUAAUGGGCCCGGAGGGCGCAAAGCAAAUUUUAAAUCGAACUUUCAUGGGUUAAACUAAUCCGUUUGCUCUUCUGACCUCUUUUAAAGACCAAAUCAGUAUUUGAAGUCAUGCUAAACUAGUUGUUGUUAUGUUACGGGGUUUAUUUGCGCCUUUAAUUGUCCUAUUUGCAUACCACUUACAUGCUACGUGUUUUGAAUGUCGUUCUAGUAUUUUUACAUUUGAAACUCCAUGUAUAUCAUAUCUCUCUCGCCCCUUUCUUAGGAUUAAUCUAGUAUUUUUUCCUUUGAAACUCCACAUAUAUCCUAUCUCUCUCGCCCCUUCUUAGAAUUAGAAGUACUAAUACCCCAGGACAAACAGGUUGGGAUGGGUAUUAGCAUGCAAUAAGUAAACGAUACCAACGCGUUUAAAUACCUUAACGGGGUGGGAAGGGUAGAAUAUGGAGAAGAUGACCGGAACGCUAAUACCAUAUGCGACCCCUCUUUGAGGAGUGUGUGCGGAGUAUUGUGCCAAUGUUAUCCAUAUUAUAGUUAAACCUAGGCCCUUCUCUCUUUUGUUUGCUUUAUUUAAAUGUUCUCCUAUAGUAAUGCUUUUCCAAAUCAAUCCUCCAUUUUAUUUUAAACUUAUGCCCUUCCUUAUUCUUUAAAGCUUCCAAGUUGUGUGAAUGCUAUAUAUGUGAACCUUAUUUGUUUAAUUGCUUCAUCUCUUUAUAAAGUCACAAUUAACAUGGUAGGGAAACGCACUAGUGGAUCUUGAGGGGUGCCCAACACCUUCCACUCGAGAUAAUCUCAAGCCCUUACCCGAACUCUGGUUUUCUUUCAAAAUACUCCUCCCAUCUCUAAAAGUGUCCUAAUGCACUAUAAUCAUUAGGUGACGACUCUUCAAAUUCCAUAACCCAACUCCCAAACGAGAAUUAGAGUUAUUUUGCCCUUAAUGUCGUAAAACCCAAUUUCGCUUUCUGAAAAAGGGGCGUCAACACUGAGGCUAUUGCUUCUGCUAAUUGUGCAGGUAUAUUACCGCCCUCUUCAAACCCUUCACUUUAUGCACUCUCUUAUUUUUCUUUCAUUCAUCCAAAGAGCUGGAUCAUUGAUUCAGGUGCUUCUGAACAUAUGACAUCUAAUUUCUCAGCUCUAAUCAAUGUUGCUACCCUACCUUUUCCCUUGUAUGUUAAACUACCAAAUUCUCAUAAAGUAAAGGUUAGUCAAAUGAAGUGUACACAUUCUACCAGAUUUAACUAUUAAAAUUGUUCUUUAUGUGCCUGAUUUCAAUUUCAAUCUAAUCUCUAUUCAUAAACUCACAAAACACCUAAAUUGUCUCCUGUUAUUCACUUCUUUUGGUGCUAUUUUGCAGGCCCCUCAAUGAUGAGGCCAGUGGUAAUUGGUGAAAUUCUUGAAGGUCUUUAUCUACUCAAUCCAAAGUCUGUCUCUACUUGUUUCAAGAUUAAUUACCGGCAUGUUUAUCCUUCUGUGUCAGCUUGUAAUAGUUAUAAUUAAAAGAAUGUUUCAGUUUCAUGUUCAGUUCAAUUACCUAGCAAUGUAAGCUUAUGGCACAAACGUUUGAGGAAUAUGCCACUUUCUAGUAUGCAAUAUUUAUCUAAAUUUUAGUCUCAUUCCUUAUCGAAAUUUUAUCUACCAUGUGAUGUGUGUUCUAAAGCAAGGCAGACCAAAUUGCCAUUUCAUUCUAGUACUAUUUCCACUACUUCUAUUUUUGAUCUUUUCACAUUGAUACACGGGGACCUUAUAAGGUUCCUACUCAUGAUGGUUACAAAUAUUCUCUUACCAUAGUUGAUGAUUUUAUUAGAGGGACCUGGACUUACCUACUUAAAAUAAAAAGUAAUGCCUUUACAGUUUUGAAAUCUUUUCUUUCCAAGAUUGAGAGACAAUUCAACAGAAAAGUAAAAAUUGUGAGAUCAGACAAUGCCAUGGAGUUAAGUAGCAGUAACUCUACAUCAGAAUAUUUUUCUUCCAAAGGGAUUUUACAUCAAACCAUUUGCAUUGCCACACCCCAACAAAAUGGUGUUGUAAAGCGCAAAUACAAACACUUAUUGGAAACAAGUAGAGCUUUAAUUUUUCAGUCACAUGUUCCAGUAACCUAUUGGGGUUAGUGUUUGCUCACUGCCACUUUUCUUAUUAAUAGAUUUCCAUCCAAAAUUUUGAAUUCUAAAUCUCCUUAUGAACUUCUUUUAGGAAAGAAACCUUCUUUAGAAUUUUUAAGAUCUUUUGGUUUCCUUUGUUAUGCUUCUACUUUGUCUUCACACAGAUCCAAAUUUGAUCCAAGAGCUGUAAAGUGCAUUUUUAUGGGAUACCUCUUUGGAAAGAAGGGAUACAAGCUUUUAGAUCUAUCUUCUAUGAAGUUAUUUGUUUUUUAAAGGGAUGUCAAAUUUUAUGAAAGUGUUUUUCCUUUCUAAAAAUCCUCACUUAUUCAGACAACUUUUUCAGUUCCUGAUCAAAUGUCUACUCUACCUUCUUUUUCGUCCAAUUCUACAUCAGAUAAUUUAAUCUACUCUACUAUUUCUUUUUCACACAGUCAGUCACCUGUUUUACAUUCAUCUAGUAGUCUUGGUUCACCUACUACUUUCCCUACAUCUACCAAUUCUUCUUCUUCCCUUCCUACACACACAGUUAUUCCAGAUUCUUCUUCAGUAAGAUACUCUACACUCUCUCCCGUUCCUUGUACAUUAUCAAAUCAUACAGUAAUCAAGAAAUGACUUAGAGAAUAUAAAACACCAGCUUAUUUGACAGAUUACGUGUGCAAUUCUGUUUAUUUGACUAACCUAACCCCUAGUUGUUUUGAAGCAUCUCUAGAACCUUUUGUUUUGUCUUUUUCAGCUCUAUCCUCCACAAAUCAACAUUUUUUAAAAUCACUCUCCCAUAUUUCAGAACCUACAACUUAUUCCCAGGUAGUUUUACAUCCUGCAUGGCAGGAAGCAAUGGCUAAAUAAUUUGAAGCCUUGGAGGCUAACAAAACCUGGGAGCUUGUAGAGUUACCAAAGGGAAUGAAUGCUUUGCAUUCCAAAUAGGUUUAUAAGGUAAAAUAUAAGUCUGAUAGAAGUGUCGAGAGAUUGAAAGCUAGACUAGUGAUAAGGGGUGACAUAAACAGAGAGGGAAUUGAAUUUUACAGAUACUUUUUCUCCUGUAGUUAAGAUGACUACAGUCAGAUGUCUCAUGGCUAUUGCAGUUAAAAAGGGAUUGCCUUUAUUUCAAUUAGAUGUAAAUAAUGCUUUCCUUCAUGGUGAUUUAUAAGAGGAAGUUUAUACGAAACUUCCAGCCGGUAUGUUUAGUAUUGGUUCUAACCUUGGUGCAGGUUAAGAAAAUCUCUAUAUGGAUUGAAACAGGCGUCACGACAAUGGUACCCCAAACUUGCAACAACUCUCAAUUUUAAAGGAUACACUAAUUACCUUAACGAUUAUUCUUUAUUUUUCAAAAAAGGCAGAUUCGAAUGUCACCUUAGUUGCUGUAUAUAUUGAUGAUAUUCUUCUAACAGGAGAUGACCCUAAUGAAUUGAGUGUUCUAAAGCAUGUUUUGGAUACAGAAUUCAAAAUAAAAGACCUAGGUGAUGCACAUUUUUUUCUUGGAAUGAAAAUUAUCAGAGAAAAAUAAGGUAUAAUUCUUUGUCAACAGAAAUUUACCUUGGACCUAUUGACAGAGUUUGGUUGUCUUUAUUUGAGGCCUGCUUCUUCUCCGCUGGAUCCCUAUUGCAAAUUACAAGCAGAUUCUGGUUCUUUCCUUCGGGAUCCCACUAUUUAUCGGCGACUCGUUGGGAAGUUAAAUUUUUUGAAUCACACCCGAUCAGAUAUCUCUUUUGCUGUACAGCGGCUUAGUUAAUUUAUGCAAACUCCACGACAAUCUCAUCUUGAUGCUGCUAUGCACUGCCUUCGAUAUCUCCUAUCAAGUCCUGGUCUUGGGCUUCUUUUUAAUUCAGAACCAUCAUUCAAGCUUCUAGCCUGUUGUGAUUCUGAUUGGGGUUCUUGUCCCGACACAAGGCGAUCAGUCAGCGGAUAUUUUGUUAGCCUUGGGGGAUCCCCAAUUUUGUGGAAAUAUUAGAAACAAGCCCUCAUUUUCCUUUCUUCUGCUGAGGCAGAAUACCAUUCCAUGAGACGCGCGGUUUCCAAAGUCAUUUGGCUUGUUCGUCUUCUUGAGGAUCUUUCCGUUGGUCCAUCUUUUCUAGUUUCUAUUCAUUAAGACAGCCAAGCUGCGAUCCAUAUCGCCAGAAAUCCCAUCUUUCACGAAGCACAAAACAUGUCGAGCUCGACUGUUAUUUUGUUCGCUAGCAAUUUCAGGCUGGCCUCGUCUCCCUCAAUUUCGUUCCUUCUAAGUCUCAACUUGCUGAUGUUUUCACAAAAUCUCCGCCUGGAUCGGCUCAUCGCUAAAUCAUUAGCAAGUUGGGAGUGGUUUCUCCCCCUUCCAACUUGAGGGGGGGGGGAUGUGUUGGAAUCGAAAACCCCAUUCUAGACAAAGAGGAAUUGAAGAGGAGGAAACAUAACCCUACUGUAGACAAAGAUGAAUUAAAGAGGAAGAAACAGAUGAAACUACAGAGAAUAUCGGAUAUAUCGAAGAGUACAAGACCAAGUGUUUUAUGAUAAAUUCUGCCGGGUCAAAUAAAUUAAUGGGCC